rnacentral:rRNA from 1 species
UACGUAGGGUGCGAGCGUUGUCCGGAAUUAUUGGGCGUAAAGGGCUCGUAGGCGGUUUGUCGCGUCGGGAGUGAAAACCAGGUGCUUAACACCUGGCUUGCUUUCGAUACGGGCAGACUAGAGGUAUGCAGGGGAGAACGGAAUUCCUGGUGUAGCGGUGAAAUGCGCAGAUAUCAGGAGGAACACCGGUGGCGAAGGCGGCGACCUGGGUAGAUACUGACGCUGAGGUGCGAAAGCGUGGGGAGCAAACAGG